AUAACAACAAUAACAAGCAAUGCACCACACACAAUAAAAACAAAACGCAACGGCUCUAGCACAAUAAGAACAAGACGGCAGAGGCGCAGCUAACUGAUUCUUUUGGAGAGGAAUGGCUUUUUUGGGGUUCGCCCCACACCAGACCGAGAACAAUAAAACUGUCCUGAGACAGCACCCGUACUGGUAAGACCGCAAGGUAAAAAAGCUCUGUCAGCAUCCAAAGAAAUCCGUUUGCUAUUGACUCCCCUUUGGGAGGUCUCCGGAAGCACGGCGCUUCCAGGAACGGGCAAUUGAACAAGAACAACAAGCCCGCAAUAACAAUAAAAUGAAGCACGCAUUACUUAGAGGGGAGCUUAGGCUCCCCUCAGUGCUUUCUGGCGUUUGACACCUGUCUUCCCU
rnacentral:sRNA from 1 species